AUUGAACGCUGGCGGCAGGCCUAACACAUGCAAGUCGAACGGUAACAGGAAACAGCUUGCUGUUUCGCUGACGAGUGGCGGACGGGUGAGUAAUGUCUGGGAAACUGCCUGAUGGAGGGGGAUAACUACUGGAAACGGUAGCUAAUACCGCAUAACGUCGCAAGACCAAAGAGGGGGACCCUCGGGCCUCUUGCCAUCGGAUGUGCCCAGAUGGGAUUAGCUUGUUGGUGGGGUAACGGCUCACCAAGGCGACGAUCCCUAGCUGGUCUGAGAGGAUGACCAGCCACACUGGAACUGAGACACGGUCCAGACUCCUACGGGAGGCAGCAGUGGGGAAUAUUGCACAAUGGGCGCAAGCCUGAUGCAGCCAUGCCGCGUGUAUGAUGAAGGCCUUCGGGUUGUAAAGUACUUUCAGCGGGGAGGAAGGGAGUAAAGUUAAUACCUUUGCUCAUUGACGUUACCCGCAGAAGAAGCACCGGCUAACUCCGUG
rnacentral:rRNA from 1 species